GUAUAGAGUAUGGUGUUAGGGUAGUGUGUUGUAGGGUAAUGGGUAAUUUAUAGAGUAUUAUGUUAGGGUAGUGUAGUGUAAGGUAGUGGGUAAUGUAUAGAGUAUUGUGUUAGGGUAGUGUAGUGUAAGGUAGUGGGUAAUGUAUAGAGUAUUGUGUUAGGGUAGUGUAUUGUAGGGUAGUGGGUAAUGUAUAGAGUAUUGUGUUAGGGUAGUGUAGUGUAGGGUAGUGGGUAAUGUAUAGAGUAUUGUGUUAGGGUAGUGUAGGGUAGGGUAGUGGGUAAUGUAUAGAGUAUUGUGUUAGGGUAGUGUAGGGUAGUGGGUAAUGUAUAGAGUAUUGUGUUAGGGUAGUGUAGUGUAGGGUAGUGGGUAAUGUAUAGAGUAUUGUGUUAGGGUAGUGUAGGGUAGUGGGUAAUGUAUAGAGUAUUGUGUUAGGGUAGUGUAGUGUAGGGUAGUGGGUAAUGUAUAGAGUAUUGUGUUAGGGUAGUGUAGUGUAGGGUAGUGGGUAAUGUAUAGAGUAUUGUGUUAGGGUAUGUAGUGUAG